CUGACAGAGCACUAAUAAGGUACACGCUGGAAGGAACACACAGCAGAUUAGGGGGGGCCGGGGAUCGGAUCCGUGAAUCAGAAAGGACCUCAGCCUUUGUCUGGGCAUUUGCCUGGGAGCUGGCCCUGAGUCCGGCCUCGCCCAGCAAGAUGGCUUCAGCCUGCCUUCCCUGGUCUGUG